rnacentral:siRNA from 1 species
CAUAUAUCAAUAUAAGAGAAAUG